GGUAAAAUGGCUGAGAUUUAUAGGUAAUAGAUUGUAAAUCUAUUAAGGGGAUUAAAAAUUCCCUUUUACCA
rnacentral:tRNA from 1 species